UCCCCAGUGGCGCAAUUGGUUAGCGCGCGGUACUUAUGAUGCCGAGGUUGUGAGUUCGAGCCUCACCUGGGGGA